rnacentral:rRNA from 1 species
GGAUAACCUACCCUUAGGACCGGGAUAACCCUGGGAAACUGGGGCUAAUACUGGAUAGGCAAUUAUUCCUGCAAUGGUUUUUUGUUUAAAUGUUUUUUCGCCUAAGGAUGGGUCUGCGGCCGAUUAGGUAGUUGGUUAGGUAAUGGCUUACCAAGCCGUUGAUCGGUACGGGUUGUGAGAGCAAGAGCCCGGAGAUGGAACCUGAGACAAGGUUCCAGGCCCUACGGGGUGCAGCAGGCGCGAAACCUCCGCAAUGUGAGAAAUCGCGACGGGGGGAUCCCAAGUGCCAUUCUUAACGGGAUGGCUUUUCAUUAGUGUAAAGAGCUUUUGGAAUAAGAGCUGGGCAAGACCGGUGCCAGCCGCCGCGGUAACACCGGCAGCUCUAGUGGUAACAAUUUUUAUUGGGCCUAAAGCGUCCGUAGCCGGUUUAAUAAGUCUCUGGUGAAAUCCUGUAGCUUAACUGUGGGAAUUGCUGGAGAUACUAUUAGACUUGAGACCGGGAGAGGUUGGAGGUACUCCCAGGGUAGAGGUGAAAUUCUGUAAUCCUGGGAGGACCGCCUGUUGCGAAGGCGUCUAACUGGAACGGUUCU